rnacentral:rRNA from 1 species
CUCCAGUUGGAUGCAUGUCCUUCUGGGAAAGAUUCAUCGGUAUGGGAUGGGGUCGCGUCCUAUCAGCUUGAUGGCGGGGUAACGGCCCACCAUGGCUUCGACGGGUAGCCGGCCUGAGAGGGCGACCGGCCACAUUGGGACUGAGAUACGGCCCAGACUCCUACGGGAGGCAGCAGUGGGGAAUAUUGCACAAUGGGCGCAAGCCUGAUGCAGCGACGCCGCGUGCGGGAUGACGGCCUUCGGGUUGUAAACCGCUUUUGACUGGGAGCAAGCCCUUCGGGGUGAGUGUACCUUUCGAAUAAGCACCGGCUAACUACGUGCCAGCAGCCGCGGUAAUACGUAGGGUGCAAGCGUUAUCCGGAAUUAUUGGGCGUAAAGGGCUCGUAGGCGGUCCGUCGCGUCCGGUGUGAAAGUCCAUCGCUUAACGGUGGAUCCGCGCCGGGUACGGGCGGG